rnacentral:miRNA from 10 species
UAUAUAUAUACACACAAACACACACACACACAUAUAUGUGUGUGUGUGUGUUUGUGUGUAAAU